rnacentral:rRNA from 1 species
UACUCGAGUGGCGAACGGGUGAGUAACACGUGGGUGAUCUGCCCUGCACUUCGGGAUAAGCCUGGGAAACUGGGUCUAAUACCGGAUAGGACGAUGGUUUGGAUGCCAUUGUGGAAAGUUUUUCGGUGUGGGAUGAGCUCGCGGCCUAUCAGCUUGUUGGUGGGGUAAUGGCCUACCAAGGCGUCGACGGGUGGCCGGCCUGAGAGGGUGUACGGCCACAUUGGGACUGAGAUACGGCCCAG